rnacentral:lncRNA from 1 species
ACCCCCCUAUAGGAAUACGCAAGGAAAUAAUACAAUUGGCCAAAAUAGAUAAUGAGGGUCAUCUCCAUAUCAUUUUGCAUUUCUCGACAAAUAUAAUCUGUUUGGCUAUUCUAAGUGGUUCUUUUUUUCUGGGUAAAGAGGAACUUGUUAUUUUGAAUUCUUGGGUUCAGGAAUUCUUCUAUAACUUAAAUGACUUAGUAAAAGCUUUUUUUAUUCUUUUAGUUACUGAUUUUUUUGUUGGAUUUCACUCCACCCGCGGUUGGGAACUACUAAUUCGUUGGGUCUAUAACGAUCUUGGAUGGGUUCCUAACGAGCUAAUUUUCACUAUUUUUGUUUGUAGUUUUCCUGUGAUUCUAGAUACAUGUUUGAAAUUUUGGGUCUUUUUUUGUUUAAACCGCCUAUCUCCUUCGCUUGUAGUCAUUUAUCAUUCAAUUAGUGAAGCAUAAACUCAUUUGAUCUCCUGAUAUUAAUCAAAAUUAGCAUCCUUUUUCCUUUAGAAAGAAAGCCUUUUUCCAUUUUAGCAAAAUUCUUUUUUUCUAUUUCUACCUGCUCAAGGUAUUCAUCAUUCCAGUACAACUGUUGCAGUAGAAUGACAACAGAUUCGUGUAUAGGGAACUAGAUUAGCUUAGCUACCUAUCUAAUUUAUUGUAGAAAUUCCGGGAUCUGUGAUUGGACAUGGAAAAUAGAAAUACUUUUUCUUGGGUAAAGGAACAGAUGACUCGAUUGAUUUCUAUAUCGAUCAUGAUAUACGUAAUAACUCGGACAUCUAUUUCAAAUGCAUAUCCCAUUUUUGCGCAGCAAGGUUAUGAAAACCCACGAGAAGCAACUGGACGAAUUGUAUGUGCCAAUUGCCAAUUAGCGAAUAAGCCUGUGGAUAUUGAAGUUCCCCAAGCAGUGCUUCCCGAUACUGUAUUUGAAGCAGUUCUUUGAAUUCCUUAUGAUAUGCAACUGAAACAAGUUCUUGCUAAUGGGAAAAAGAGAGGGUUGAAUGUGGGUGCUGUUCUUAUUUUGCCCGAGGGAUUCGAAUUAGCGCCGCCCGACCGUAUUUCUCCUUAGUUGAAAGAAAAGAUAGGAAAUAUCUCUUUUCAGAGUUAUCGUCCCAAUAAAAAAAAUAUUCUUGUGAUAGGCCCAGUUCCCGGUAAGAAAUAUAGUGAAAUCGUCUUUCCCAUUCUUUCCCCCGACCCUGCUAUGAAGAAAGACGUUCAUUUCUUAAAAUAUCCCAUAUAUGUGGGGGGAAACCGAGGAAGGGGACAGAUCUAUCCUGAUGGUAGCAAGAGUAACAAUACGGUCUAUAAUGCAACGUCAACAGGUGUAGUAAGAAAAAUACUGCGUAAAGAAAAGGAGGGAUAUGAAAUAUCCAUAGUCGAUGCAUCGGAUGGACGCCAAGUGAUUGAUCUUAUACCUCCCGGUCCAGAACCUCUUGUUUCAGAGGGGGAAUCGAUUAAGCUUGAUCAACCAUUAACAAAUAAUCCUAAUGUGGGAGGGUUUGGUCAGGGGGAUGCAGAAAUAGUGCUUCAGGAUCCAUUACGCGUUCAAGGCCUUUUGUUCUUCUUCGCAUCCGUUAUUUUGGCACAAGUUUUUUUGGUUCUCAAAAAGAAACAGUUUGAAAAGGUUCAAUUGUACGAAAUGAAUUUCUAGGUCCCGGGAUUUCUUACCAUCAAGUUGGUAAAAAGCCGCGAUUUAUUGGCGAUUGCUAGAAUUCUCUAUGAUCCAUUUUGGAAAUCUUUUUUUUGUUUAGACUAUUUUUUGUUUGCGAGAUGUCUUGUCUGCAAUUCCUUAUUUCUAUCAUCUCAUGCAAAACGAGGAGAAUGCAAGGCAAGGGCGAGAACAAUAAAAGGAACAAAUCCUUUUAGGAGGCUUUUUUGCCUUUUUCUUGUGUCGAUUCUUCUUGUAUCGAAAUAUGAAUCUUGUUUCUUCCUAUUCGGCAAAGAUUACUAUUUCUUCUUUAUUUGGGUCUGUCUCUUGAACCUCUUUUGCUUAGGUUCAGGCGAUGUAGUGGACAAAAAGAGGGAAAGAAAAUAUGGCGGGGGACAAAUUUUUUGUGACCAAAUAGAAUUGCUUGACUUGUUCAAUUUAGAACUUACAGAAAUUUUGCAAAAAAAAACGGAUACUCUUCCAUUGAAGGCUGUUUUUUAUUUUUAGGCUAGUUGAGUAGUUUUAAUUAAGGUUUUAUUAGUUUAUUACUCUAAAUUAAAUCAAUGAUUUACAAGAGACUUCCUCCGGGGAAUAAAAUAUUGGAUCCUCGAUUGAUCCUUUCUUUCUCCUCGCUUCAUAAAAGUGAAUUAAUUUCAUUGGCGAGGGGGUUAUAAAUCAACUGAUGGAUUACUUCACUAACAUUAUUAACAAACAAAAUUAACAAACAAAACGAAUAAAUAGAGGGAUUCUGACCAUCAGAGCAAAGGCUUUCUCUUUGUUAUUUUUACAAAUCAAAAUAGGAAACCCGUUUGUAGGUUAUGGAAUAGAUUAAAAAAGUCGGGUUAUAAGAGUAAGAGUUCCGCGGGUCCUUUCCGCUCUAAUCAGAUAAAAGGGGGUAAGGACCCGCUAAGUUCCUAUUUUUUCAUGUUUACAACCUGGUCCCUUCAAUUACUAUAGAGAUGAACCCAAUCCAGAAUAUGAACCGUAAAAGAAAACACAUAUUAAACCAAUCACAGCAAUACCGGUUACAGUACCUAUCAGCCAAAGAGGAAUUCUUCCAGUAGUAUCGGCCAUUUCCCCUACUUUCCUCCACAUUUUAUCAAGUGGUCAUGCUAGAGACAAAAACAGUCAUGGAUAGUUACAAGGAUGGUAUCCUUCCAAAUGGGGAUAAGAGAAUUCUUACUACUCUCUUUCUUUCUCUCAAUUGAAGAAGUAAUUGGAAAAUAAAACAGCAAAUACAAAAAUGAGUAAUAAACCCCAGUAUAGACUAGUACGAUUCAAUUCAACAUUUUGUUCAUUCGGGUUUGAUUGUGUCAUAGUUCUAUAGUUGGAAUUUGGUUUAUCGUUGGAUGAACUGCAUUGCUGAUAUUGAUCCCAAGAAAAAAACAGUAGGUACAGCUAGUCCGUGAACAGCCAGCCAUCGCACUGUAAAAAUCGGAUAGGUUCGAUCUAUGGUCAUUGAGGGCCUCCUAAAAGGAUCUACUAAAUUCAUCGAGUUGUUCUAAAGAAUCAAAACGGUCGGUUAUUAACGGAAUUCCUUGUCGGCUUUCUGUGAAAUACUCGUUUGGCCGAGGACUUCCAAACACGUCAUAAGCUAAACCCGUACUGACAAAUAACCAACCCGCAAUGAAUAGGGAAGGUAUAGUAAUGCUAUGAAUAACCCAGUAUCGAAUACUAGUAAUAAUAUCAGCAAAAGAACGUUCUCCCGUGCUUCCAGACAUGCUGAGCUCCCCAAAUUUUUGUACAUUCAAAAAAGGAAUUGAUUCCAUAAAAGAUGGGAUCAACCAGUAAAUAGAAAAUUACUGAUAUUUCAUCCUUGUGAGAUUGUCAAUUUUGUACCAAAGGUGUAUUUUGAGUAUACCAAAUUAGUAUAGCUAUCCUUCCUAUGGCACAGCAAUCCUGUUUCGCUUGGUCUCGAAACAGAAUUCUUUUUUUCUCUUCUUUGUUCCUUGUCUAUAGGGUAAGCUAUAUGGUAUUCAAGGCAUCAAUAGAAAACCUCAAUUUUGAGGGUCCUACUUAAUUUUCACCGGCUUCGGAAUAGUAGAAUAAUUCGGAAUAGGGCUCAAGAUCUUGGGAAAAUCUAAGUUAAUGAUCAACAGGUUUGGAUAAAGAAUUUAGGAAAGAUAUUCUUAUACUGACACAAUACAAAGAGAAGUAGAUGCGAAAGCUAUCCCUUCGAAUCCAACCUUUCCCCUUAAAGAAUUUAAUUGGUUAGCAUAAUAUAAUAUCUAAUAAAUAGAAAAUCAAAUAGUAGAUAAUCUGUUAUGAAAGAGAGAAAACAUUCUUUGAAGAAUCAAGAUUCGUAAUCAACCCUUGCCUUGUUUACUAACUUUCUUGACCAAACUGCAAGCGUGGAACUUUGCCAGUUCUUAGGUUUCCGAAAUAGUGUAAUGGAAAAAGAAGUGCUUCGAAUCGACUUUGAUUGGGGUUCGAAAAAGGAAUUAAAAAAAAGUAAAUUCAGGAAAGAUUUCCUUUUUUAGGAGACCCUCGAGGGGUCGUGGAAUGCUUUUCUUCUCCUCUUAUUCCAUAUGGAAUACAAUCAAUUAAAAUAAGAAGGAAUAGGGGAAUAUUCGACUGUUCGCUCCAAAAAGAAGGUUAAAUCAUCCUAUUGAAAAAGACCAAAAUAGAAAGAACUUUUUCAAAUUCAAUUCUUUAUUUUUCACUGGGGUUAGCUGAUCUAGUUCUUAAUAUUAUUACUUUACUCAAUUGACAGAUUACACAGCAAAUCUCUUGAUUCGGAAUUAGGGACUCAUGCCCCAUCUGAUGAAUCCAUUUUCUUUUACACUUCUGUAUCUCACUCUAUCUUGUUUUUUUAGUAUUAUCUAAAAUAACCGAUGAAUUAUGAAUUUUCCAUAACUUAGGUAAGUGCUUUACCAACAUAUGUAGUGUAGUAAAAAAAAUGGAAUUUAACCCUUUCAUGCUUACUAUAACUAGUUAUUUCGGUUUUCUAUUGGCUGCUUUAACUCUAACCCUAGCUCUAUUUAUUGGCUUGAACAAGAUACGUCUUAUUUGAAAUGAAUUGAAUGAAUAAGGCAGAAAAGAAAAAAUCUCUCUUUUGGAUUCCUGGUAUUCUACGCACUAAUUACCAAUUCUUUUUUUCUUGGUCAUUGAGAUUCGUGGAUAAUUUAGACUACUAUUUAGGGAUAAAUCGUACCUCUUUUUUUUAUCCCCUCGAACAAAUCGAAAUGAUUGAAGUUUUUCUAUUUGGAAUCGUCUUAGGCCUAAUUCCUAUUACUUUAGCGGGAUUAUUCGUGACUGUGUAUUUGCAAUACAGACGUGGGGAUCAGUUGGAUCUUUGAUUGAGUAAUAUUUCUUUUUCGAUUGCCCUCCUCUCUGGUCUGGAGGAGGUCAAAUUGGAAUUGCAAUUUGUUUUGUUAAGUUAUUUUGCCCUGCUUUGACAUAAGAUAGAUGGAAUCACGCUCCGUAGGAUUUGAACCUACGACAUCGGGUUUUGGAGACCCGCGUUCUACCGAACUGAACUAAGAGCGCUUUCAAAAAUCAAAUCCUUUUCUACUCCUAAUGUGUCUCACGUACGUAUAGUAUCCACGAAUUAAAGUUAUACCCGCUUUAAUCGACCUCCUCACUACUGCCUAUAAAGAAGAAAGAAGUAAUAGGUAGGGAUGACAGGAUUUGAACCUGUGACAUUUUGUACCCAAAACAAACGCGCUACCAAGCUGCGCUACAUCCCUUUUCCAAAUUGUUGUACAAUGUCAUUGUACACAAUUCCUAUCUUGUUUUCCACAUCCUAAUUUUCUUGUCUUUUUCUAUCUAUAGAGAAUCCUCGUCUCAUUUCUUCUUUUUGGUCUCAUAUAAUCAAGGAAUGGUAUAUAUCUAAAUCCAAUCUAAUUUCACCUAUAAAAGAAAGAUUACUAUUCCUUGGUAAUCUAUAGGAAGGGAUUGUCUUUUUUGUUUUUAGUUCGGAAUUUCGCCUAAACAAAAGAAAUACAAAUGAUCUUGGGCAAUAAUAUCUAAUCAUAUACGUAUUCCAAUAAGGAAGGAGGAUUUUCAAUGCGGGAUAUAAAAACAUAUCUCUCUGUAGCACCCGUGCUAAGUACUCUAUGGUUUGGGGCUUUAGCAGGUUUAUUGAUAGAAAUUAAUCGUUUAUUUCCAGAUGCUUUGUCAUUCCCCUUUUUUUCAUUCUAGUUGUUGCUAUGUGAGGAAUAGAGUUCUUCGUGACAUGAUAAAAAAUUCCCACUUUUCAAUCCCUUUUUAGUAUAGGAAAGAAAAAGAAAGAAAAGAUAGAUUGGGUUGGACCUUAGAGUCAUGAAAAUUUUGGUAAAUCUCAUUUUUGAAAAAAGAAAUUCAAUUAAAAGCAGUAUCCAAGCUAAGUCAGGCCUCAGAAAUCAGAGCAUAGAAAGAGGCUGGGUUGGCUACUAAAAUGAAAGGAUUUUGCUUCAAAGUCCUUGCUAAUUUGACAAGGAUUGUAUUCCUUAAUUAUUUCUCUAUUUUUUAUUACUUAAUUGAAAAAUUUCCAAAAAUUUUUAUUCUAAUGGAUUUUCUUCUUCCUCUUCGGUUUAAAAAAUAGAGGAAUAAAAGAAUAAGUAGAAGAAUUAAGUUAAGUCAAUCCAAAAAGGAAAGGAGGUUCAUGGCCAAGGGGAAAGAUGUUAGAAUCAGAGUUAUUUUGCAAUGUGUGAGUUGUGUUCGAAAAGGGGCCAAUGAGGAGUCGGCAGGGAUUUCUAGAUAUAGUACUCAAAAGAAUCGCCACAAUACACCCGGACAAUUAGAAUUAAGAAAAUUUUGUCGUUAUUGUCGUAAGCAUACGAUUCAUGCCGAAAUAAAGAAAUAGGAGCAUCUUGUGUUCGAUCUUUCCAAAGAUCAAAAAGAAUAAGAACUUCCUAUUUAAUAUAUAGAGCAUAGAUAGAAUACAAAAUACAAAUCAACUUGUCUGAUUUCCAUUAGAUAUUAUUUCAUAUGUAUCGAGGGUAUUCAUCUAAUAUAUGGACCAAAGAGAGACUAUUUCUUCUGGAUCCAAAAUUAAUAAAAUAAACAAAUCAAUUUUUUUUCAAUUUUAAAAUAAGGAAUAAAUCAUGUAUACAUCUAAACAACCCUUUCAUAAAUCCAAACAAACUUUUCAUAAAUCCAAGCAAACUUUUCGUAAAUCCAAGCAAACUUUUCGUAAAUUCAAACAACCUUUUCGCAAACCCAAACAACCUUUUCGUAGGCGUCCUCGGAUUGGCCCGGGGGAUCGAAUUGAUUAUAGAAACAUGAGUUUAAUUAAUCGAUUUAUUAGUGAACAAGGAAAAAUAUUAUCGAGACGAAUAAAUAGAUUAACCUUGAAACAACAACGAUUAAUUACUCUUGCUAUAAAACAGGCUCGUAUUUUAUCUUUCUUACCAUUUCGUAACUAUGAGAAUGAGAAACAAUUUCAAGCCCAGUCAAUUUCAAUAAUUACAGGUCCUAGACCCAGAAAAAAUAGACAUAUUCCUCCAUUAACACAAAAGUUCAAUUCCAAUCGAAACUUAAGAAACUCCAACCAGACUUUAAGAAACAACAAUCGGAACUUAAGUUCCGAUUGUUGAUGUUUUAUUUGAAAGGGCCAGACUAUAUAUAAAGAAAGUAAUCCAAUUUAGAUUCUUGGGUUUGUUAUAAGAAAGAACAAUGGGGAAGAAAAAAUAGUUUUUUUAUUUAUUGCAACAUGCCCGUUGAUUCCUACCACUUAAUCUUAAUUUAUUGUAUCUUCCCGGAGUUACCUCUCCGGGAAUUCUUUUUUAAUUAUUCCUGUAUAUUACUUUUUUAUCCCUUUAAUUGAUAAUCUUUAUUUUAUUGGAAAUCGUGUAAAGAUUAUUUGGAUUUAAUACAACUACUUGUGCAAGGAUUUUACGAUUAAGAAUCAAUUCUUUCUUGUAAAGAUUGUGUAUUAAUUUACUAUAAUUAUCGAAUACUUUAUGUAUCCGCGUUGCUGCAUUUAUCCGACUGAUCCACAAAUGCCGAAAAUCCCUCUUUUGCCUGACUCUAUCUCGAUGAGAGGAAACAAACGCUCUUCUUACCUAUUGAGUAAUCAUUCGAUUAAGUCUUAAAUGAGCCCCUCUAAAGUUUGAGGCAAAUGAACGCAUUUUUGCCCGUCGUCUCCGAGCUAUAUAUCCUCGCGGAACUCUGGUCAUUGAAUCAAAUUAACCUUAAUGAAUAACUAAUGAUUUCUCUUCUUUUAGCCAUCCUUUUUCCCAUUAAUAACAAAACGAAUUAUUCCCAUAUAUAAAAUAUUAGUUCCAAUGGCUUUUGCUACUAUAACCUUCCCAACCACAAUUUUCUCUUCUACUCCCUUCAGUUAUUUCGCACGAUACUAAAAAAUAGUGGGUUCCAUCGUUUCUAUGGUUCCCUUUUAAACGGCGAGGCCCUCUCUAUACACCGGAGCCCUUUCUUUCAUUUCAUCAAAGGGUAUUGUGAACUUGUAUAGUUCACAUUCUUUGGCUCUACCUAUCCAUUAUAGAGUAAAUAGCUCUUUUCACAAUAAGAGUUAUCCAUACAGUGACGACAUUUAAUUAUGAAAGUUGGCUAAGUAGCUGACCCUCUUAGUCCUUUUUUUAAAGAUAAAGGAGCAUAAGCCUUUAUCUUUUUAUUACUAUUUCCUCCGCUUAAUGAAUAGACGUUUGCUACCAAUGGGGGAAUUGCUUCUUAUUUCCAAUCUAGAUGAUUGGAUUUGCACAAAAGGAAACCAGAAAUUCCAUAUACCGUAGAAAUCUAGGAUAGAGAAGCUCUAUCCUAUUCAUUGGUACCGAUCAUGGAUACUUCAAAAAUUGUCUUAUUUGUUUGAACCCAUGAUCCGAACGAGUCGCACAUACACCCUAGCACAUGUUCCUCGACGCUGAGGACAUCCCUUAAGCGCGGCCGAUUUUCUUACAUUUCGUAUUGGCUGUCUUGCGUUUCUAAUAAGUUGGUUAACCGUUGGCAUGUCGUAUGUAUAUAGAAAAAAUGGAUUGGUUUAGAUCGAUCUUAACCUGAAUGAUUGAUCAUUAUGAAGUAUUUCCAUUAAAUUGCAUAAAACCCGAAUUUAGGGUUGAAAUAAAUUUACAAGAAAUCUGGCCACUACCAAUCCUUAAACAUUUCUGGAAACCACACUGGAUCAGUAUCGCAGUGCUCGUCAAGCAUUUCAUCCCCUACAAUAUCGACAAGUCCAUAAGCUUUGGCUUUGUCUGCUGACAUAAAAACAUCCCUUUCCAUGUCUUCGGAUACAACCCAAAAAGGCUUGCCUGUUCUUAGUGCAUAAACCCUUGUGAUCAUUUCAUGAACUUUGUGUAACUCUUCCACUUCUAGUAAAAAUUCUGGUGUUCUUGCCCGAUAAUAAGCACUAGCAGGUUGGUGAAGCAUAAUCCUCGCGUGGGGGAAUGCUAUACGCUUGGUGGGUUCUCCUCCAAGCAGAAUGAAGGACACCAUGGACGCGGCUAUUCCGAGGCAUAUUGUAUAUAUAUCUGGUGUCACCGUUUGCAUCGUAUCAAAAAUCGCCAUUCCUGAGAUUAACCACCCGCCGGGGGAGUUUAUAAACAAAAAAAUAUCGCUAAUUCCAUCUUCUAUACUGAGAUAUACCAUGAGACCUGUAAUAUGAUUCGUGACCUCGCAACGAAUCUCUUGACCUAAAAAAAGUGUCCUUUCUCGAUACAUAACAUUGUAUAAGUCAACCCAAGUCACUUCUUCAUCUCCGGGAAUCCGGUAAGGUACUUUUGGAACACCAAUGGGCAUAUUAGAUUAAUAUUAUUAAAUUUAAGUAAGAAAACUACACUUUAAUAUGGAAACGUAAGAAUGGAAGAGAAAGAAAGAAUCCGCAGUUUAUUGUUUUCACUUUUUUUCUUAUUCUAUAUGAAUACUAUAGAUUCUAUUAAUAUGUAGAUUGAAAUAAUACAUAGAUUGAAAGAUUAUACAUAUAAGUAGGAUAAGACAGAUUGAAUAAAGAAAAAAGAAUGGGUGAUUCGAAUACUAAACAAAAAGAGAUAGGGAUCUAUUCUUUGUUUUUUUCCAAAUAAGCCAAGCUGCCCAUUGCAUAUUGGCACUUAUCGAGUAUAGAAAAGAUCUGCUUCUCAUUCUUCUUACGAACAGAAUUGGCUUCUUAUUUUUAAUGGAAUGAAAUAAAUAUUCAUGCUUUCUGACACAGAAUCCCCUAGAAGGGUUAGGUACAUAGGAUAUGGAUAGUCUUUGCUAAUGCGAUAAAAUAAAGUGACAUCGUGUCUAUUUUUCUUUGCUAAAGGGGUAUUUCCAUGGGUUUGCCUUGGUAUCGUGUUCAUACUGUCGUAUUGAAUGAUCCGGGUCGAUUGCUUUCGGUGCAUAUAAUGCACACAGCUCUAGUUUCUGGUUGGGCUGGCUCGAUGGCUUUAUACGAAUUAGCGGUUUUUGAUCCCUCUGAAUCCUGUUCUGGAUCCAAUGUGGAGACAAGGUAUGUUCGUCAUUCCUUUCAUGACUCGUUUAGGAAUAACCAAUUCGUGGGGUGGUUGGAGUAUUUCAGGAGGAACUGUAACGAAUCCGGGUAUUUGGAGUUAUGAAGGCGUGGCAGGGGCGCAUAUUGUGUUUUCUGGCUUGUGUUUCUUGGCAGCUAUCUGGCAUUGGGUAUAUUGGGACCUCGAAAUAUUCUGUGAUGAGCGGACGGGAAAACCUUCUUUGGAUUUGCCCAAGAUCUUUGGAAUUCGGGUAUUUCUUGCAGGGGUGUCUUGCUUUGGCGUUGGCGCAUUUCAUGUAACGGGUUUGUAUGGUCCUGGGAUAUGGGUGUCUGAUCCUUAUGGACUAACUGGAAAAGUACAAGCUGUAAAUCCUGCGUGGGGUGCAGAAGGUUUUGAUCCUUUUGUUCCAGGGGGAAUAGCUUCUCAUCAUAUUGCUGCGGGUACAUUGGGCAUAUUAGCGGGCCUAUUCCAUCUUAGUGUCCGUCCACCUCAACGUCUAUACAAAGGAUUACGUAUGGGCAAUAUUGAAACUGUACUUUCCAGUAGUAUCGCUGCUGUUUUUUUUGCAGCUUUCGUAGUUGCCGGAACUAUGUGGUAUGGGUCAGCAACUACCCCAAUUGAAUUGUUUGGGCCUACUCGUUAUCAGUGGGAUCAGGGAUACUUUCAGCAAGAAAUAUAUCGAAGAGUUAGUGAUGGGUUAGCCGAAAAUCUCAGUUUAUCAGAAGCUUGGUCUAAAAUUCCCAAAAAAUUAGCCUUUUUUGAUUAUAUUGGUAAUAAUCCGGCAAAGGGGGGAUUAUUCAGAGCAGGCUCAAUGGACAAUGGGGAUGGAAUAGCUGUUGGAUGGUUAGGACAUCCUAUCUUUAGAGAUAAAGAAGGGCGCGAACUUUUUGUACGCCGUAUGCCUACUUUUUUUGAAACAUUUCCGGUUGUUUUGGUAGAUGAAGAGGGAAUUGUGAGAGCGGACGUUCCUUUUAGAAGAGCAGAAUCCAAAUAUAGUGUUGAACAAGUAGGCAUAACGGUGGAGUUCUAUGGGGGCGAACUUAAUGGAGUAAGUUAUUCUGAUCCUGCUACUGUAAAAAAAUAUGCGAGGCGUUCCCAAUUAGGGGAAAUUUUUGAAUUAGAUCGGGCUACUUUGAAAUCAUAUGGUGUUUUUCGCAGCAGUCCAAGGGGUUGGUUCACUUUUGGUCAUGCUACCUUUGCUUUGCUCUUCUUUUUUGGACACAUUUGGCAUGGGGCUAGAACCUUGUUCCGAGAUGUUUUUGCUGGUAUUGAUCCAGACUUGGAUGCUCAAGUGGAAUUUGGAACAUUCCAAAAAGUCGGAGAUCCAACUACGAGGAGACAGCCAGUCUGAGGCCGCAUUGCUUUGGUAUCUUUGACCUCUCUUUUUUGAUUUGACAUGGGAAACAUCUCCCAUCCCUUCUUUGACUCUUUUUCCUUUUUUAUACGGGAAAUGAUCCCAAAUGACAAAUGAAUAGGUGUGGAAGUUAUAAUUGUAAAUAAACCACGAUCGAAUCUAUGGAAGCAUUGGUUUAUACGUUCCUUUUAGCUUCGACUUUAGGGAUAUUUUUUUUCGCUAUCUUCUUCGGAGAACCACCUAAGGUUCCGACUAAAAAAGUGAAAUAAUUUAAUUGAAGUAAGAAGUCUCCCCAUCUGGGAGACUUCUUACUUCAAUUAGUCCCCGUGUUCUUCGAAUGGAUCUCUUAAUUGUUGAGAGGGUUGCCCAAAUGCGGUAUAUAAGGCAUACCCAGUAAAGCUUACAAGUAAACCAGAUAUGGAGAUGGCGACUAAAGUUGUUGUUUCCAUUUUUAUAGAAUUUCAAGAUUACAAUGGAUCUACGAAAAGAUCGUGUAUUUACAACUACAACGGAAUAGUAUACAAAGUCAACACAAAUCAUUAAAUGGAAUUUAUGGCUACACAAACCGUUGAAGAUAGUUCUAGACCUGGACCAAGACAAACUCGCGUAGGUAAUUUAUUGAAACCCUUGAAUUCGGAAUAUGGGAAAGUAGCUCCGGGUUGGGGGACUACUCCUUUUAUGGGGGUCGCAAUGGCUUUAUUCGCGGUAUUCCUAUCUAUUAUUUUAGAAAUUUAUAAUUCUUCCGUUUUACUGGACGGAAUUUUAAUGAAUUACGUUUCUACUAACGAAAACUACGAAGUCAUAGUUUUUCCAUCCAAAAGAGCCUUUCUACUUUAAGCUCUACAUUUCUAGACAUUCUGGUAGUUCGACCGUGGAAUUUUUUGGUUUCGGUAUCUCUGGAAUAUGAGUGUGUGACUUGUUAGAAUUUGCUCCUAUUGAUAAUACAUAGAAAGCACCUGUUAUCUCUAUCAAGAUGAUUCUAAUUCGUCGGAUAUUAUUUAUUCUAGUAUCUGGAACACAAAAUAGAUAGAGUGGAUCAAGAAAAAAAAUGAAACUAUGAUUCAUAUUAACUAUUCAGACCUCACAACCAGACUGAAAAAAAUUCAAGUAGUUCUUAAUAAAAAUAAAAAAAGAAAAUUUCUUCCUUCCAAUUUUGUUUGCCCAAAAAACAACUUUUUUUCUCUCGAUUUUGUCGAGUCAUUACACCGAUUCAAUAAAUGAUCAUCAAGCGGUUCUUAUUCGAAGAACCCUUGCCUUUUGUUUAGCUUGAGACUCAAUCAUCGUGGCUCUAGUAU